GAUGAACGCUGGCGGCGUGCCUAAUACAUGCAAGUCGAGCGAACAGACGAGGAGCUUGCUCCUCUGACGUUAGCGGCGGACGGGUGAGUAACACGUGGAUAACCUACCUAUAAGACUGGGAUAACUUCGGGAAACCGGAGCUAAUACCGGAUAAUAUAUUGAACCGCAUGGUUCAAUAGUGAAAGACGGUUUUGCUGUCACUUAUAGAUGGAUCCGCGCCGCAUUAGCUAGUUGGUAAGGUAACGGCUUACCAAGGCAACGAUGCGUAGCCGACCUGAGAGGGUGAUCGGCCACACUGGAACUGAGACACGGUCCAGACUCCUACGGGAGGCAGCAGUAGGGAAUCUUCCGCAAAGGGCGAAAGCUUGACGGAGCAACGCCGCGUGAGUGAUGAAGGUCUUCGGAUCGUAAAACUCUGUUAUUAGGGAAGAACAAAUGUGUAAGUAACUAUGCACGUCUUGACGAUACCUAAUCAGAAAGCCACGGCUAACUACGUG
rnacentral:rRNA from 1 species